rnacentral:rRNA from 1 species
ACUCCUACGGGAGGCAGCAGUGGGGAAUCUUCCGCAAUGGACGAAAGUCUGACGGAGCAACGCCGCGUGAGUGAAGAAGGUUUUCGGAUCGUAAAACUCUGUUUUCAGGGACGAAUGUGCGUCAUGUAAAUAAUGUGAUGUAAUGACGGUACCUGAGUAGAAAGCCACGGCUAACUACGUGCCAGCAGCCGCGGUAAUACGUAGGUGGCAAGCGUUGUCCGGAAUUAUUGGGCGUAAAGCGCGCGCAGGUGGGAUAUUAAGUCUGGUGUUAAAGUUCGGGGCUCAACCCCGUGAAGCAUUUGGAAACUGAUAUUCUUGAGUGCAGGAGAGGAAAGUGGAAUUCCUAGUGUAGCGGUGAAAUGCGUAGAUAUUAGGAGGAACACCAGUGGCGAAGGCGACUUUCUGGACUGUGUCUGACACUGAGGCGCGAAAGCCAGGGUAGUGAACGGGAUUAGAUACCCCGGUAAUCCUGGCCGUAAACGAUGGGUACUAGGUGUUGGGGGGUAUCGACCCCUCCAGUGCCGGAGUUAACGCAAUAAGUACCCCGCCUGGGG